rnacentral:rRNA from 1 species
AUACAGAGGGUGCGAGCGUUAAUCGGAAUUACUGGGCGUAAAGCGCGCGUAGGCGGCUUGGUCAGUCGGAUGUGAAAGCCCCGGGCUCAACCUGGGAAUGGCAUUCGAUACUGCCAGGCUAGAGUAUGGGAGAGGGAAGCGGAAUUUCCGGUGUAGCGGUGAAAUGCGUAGAUAUCGGAAGGAACACCAGUGGCGAAGGCGACUUCCUGGCCCAAUACUGACGCUGAGGUGCGAAAGCGUGGGGAGCGAACAGGAUUAGAAACCCCAGUAGUCC